rnacentral:rRNA from 1 species
UACGGAGGGUGCAAGCGUUGUCCGGAAUCACUGGGCGUAAAGGGCGCGUAGGCGGCUCAUGAAGGCUGUGGUGAAAGUCCGGGGCUCAACCUCGGAUCGGCCGUGGCGACUCGUGGGCUGGAGCACUGUAGAGGCGGGUGGAAUUCCGGGUGUAGCGGUGGAAUGCGUAGAGAUCCGGAAGAACACCAGUGGCGAAGGCGGCCCGCUGGGCAGUGGCUGACGCUGAAGCGCGACAGCGUGGGGAGUAAACAGG